GCGGAGACGCAUGUUUCCGUUCACUCCUCACACCACACUCCGCCCGGACUAUGUUCGGGCGGUU
rnacentral:sRNA from 1 species